GACGAACGCUGGCGGCAGGCUUAACACAUGCAAGUCGAACGCCCCGCAAGGGGAGUGGCAGACGGGUGAGUAACGCGUGGGAAUCUACCCAACUUUACGGAAUAACUCAGGGAAACUUGUGCUAAUACCGUAUACGCCCUUCGGGGGAAAGAUUUAUCGGAGUUGGAUGAGCCCGCGUUGGAUUAGCUAGUUGGUGGGGUAAAGGCCUACCAAGGCGACGAUCCAUAGCUGGUCUGAGAGGAUGAUCAGCCACAUUGGGACUGAGACACGGCCCAAACUCCUACGGGAGGCAGCAGUGGGGAAUAUUGGACAAUGGGCGCAAGCCUGAUCCAGCCAUGCCGCGUGAGUGAUGAAGGCCCUAGGGUUGUAAAGCUCUUUCACCGAUGAAGAUAAUGACGGUAGUCGGAGAAGAAGCCCCGGCUAACUUCGUGCCAGCCGCCGCAGUAAAAC
rnacentral:rRNA from 1 species